UUUCCGGUUGAUCCCGCCGGACCUGACUGCUAUCGGAUUGAUACUAAGCCAUGCGAGUCUUUGUAGUAAUACAAGGCAGACGGCUCAGUAACACGUAGUCAACCUACCCUAUGGACAAGAAUAAUCUCGGGAAACUGGGCAUAAUUCUUGAUAGAUCAUAAUGCCUGGAAUGGUUUAUGGUUAAAAUGAUUCGUCGCCAUAGGAUGGGACUGCGGCCUAUCAGCUUGUUGGUGAGGUAAUGGCCCACCAAGGCGAUUACAGGUACGGGCUCUGAGAGGAGAAGCCCGGAGAUGGGUACUGAGACACGGACCCAGGCCCUAUGGGGCGCAGCAGGCGAGAAAACUUUGCAAUGUGCGAAAGCACGACAAGGUUAAUCCGAGUGAUUUCUGCUAAAGAAAUCUUUUGCCAGUCAUAAAACCACUGGUGAAUAAGGGGUGGGCAAGUUCUGGUGUCAGCCGCCGCGGUAAAACCAGCACCUCAAGUGGUCAGGAUGAUUAUUGGGCCUAAAGCAUCCGUAGCCGGCUUUGUUAGUUUUCGGUUAAAUCCAUGUGCUCAACGCAUGGGCUGCCGAAAAUACUGCAUGGCUAGGGAGUGGGAGAGGUAGACGGUACUCAGUAGGAAGGGGUAAAAUCCUUUGAUCUAUUGAUGACCACCUGUGGCGAAGGCGGUCUACCAGAACACGUUCGACGGUGAGGGAUGAAAGCUGGGGGAGCAAACCGGAUUAGAUACCCGGGUAGUCCCAGCUGUAAACGAUGCAGACUCGAUGAUGCAUUGGCAUAAUAGCCAGUGCAGUGUCGCAGGGAAGCCGUUAAGUCUGCCGCCUGGGAAGUACGUACGCAAGUAUGAAACUUAAAGGAAUUGGCGGGGGAGCACCACAAGGGGUGAAGCCUGCGGUUCAAUUGGAGUCAACGCCGGG
rnacentral:rRNA from 1 species